rnacentral:rRNA from 1 species
UACGUAGGGUGCUAGCGUUAUUCGGAAUUACUGGGCGUAAAGCGUGCGUAGGCGGUUUUGUAAGUCCGCUGUGAAAUCCCCGGGCUCAACCUGGGAAUGGCAUUUGGGACUGCAAGGCUGGAGUGCGGCAGAGGAGACUGGAAUUCCUGGUGUAGCAGUGAAAUGCGUAGAUAUCAGGAGGAAUACCGAUGGCGAAGGCAGGUCUCUGGGCUGACACUGACGCUCAUGCACGAAAGCGUGGGGAGCAAACAGG